AGUGAUGAAGAUUACUAUAAAUCAUUUUUAGCGUGCAUUUGUGAUUAAAGAUAUCAUGUUACACUUAACCUGAUAUGCCAUUCCGAAGUCAGAGUUUUAAAAAAGCUGCCACAUGCUCUAGAACAGAGCAAAAAAUUAAAUGAAAACAAGAAGUGCACAUUUCAUACAGUAGAUUACAUUUGACAGUUGAGAGUUAGCACAAGUGGCUGUCCAACCACCUAUGUACCAGUUAUUUCCUCUCAGGCUGUCAGCAGCCCAAACCGGCAUGGACGGGUUGGUAUCAGCCUUGUGGUGUCGACUCUUCCCUGGACAGUACUUUGGACCAAACCAUAGAUUGGAUCGACUCUUCGCCAGGAUGUCCACCUGUCCAGAAAUGGCAACCCUGCAGAUCUGUCCCUACUAUUUUGACCAAGUCACUUACAGCCUUCCUACCAGAGACCAAGUGAAACACAUGGAGAGAUGCAACCUUAGGCUACACUGGUUUGACUCAUGGGCAGGCUUACAACAAGAAAAGCAGAGGGCCAAUGAGCAGCAUGGAAGAUGGCAUUUAAGGACUAAAAGGGAAGCCCGUCCUAGCACUGGCACCUAUUUGAGUCGACUUUGUCAUCUCCAAGAUCCAAACACUGGCAGGAGUGUAUCCACACAACAGUAUAUUUAUCUGAUGUAUGGCUACUGCUAAAUACAGAUAUGAACGAGCAUGUGUCUGAUGUUGUAAUGAGAUACCAGCAUAGAUAACACUUUUAUGAGUGGGUGGGAGAUGUGGUUCAGGUUAAUACUCGUUUUAUUCACACUGAUUUUUUCCCUAUUAAUUCUAACUUUAAGAGCAACAAUUUGCAACUCCAUUGCCUAAAAAUGUUGGGCAAAAGUGAGUGCUUUUGCAACAUCUCUCAAAAGAACAUGUCACUGGCAGGAAACACAGCACCAUUGUUGAACAGUGGAAAAAUAGUGUGGACAGAGGCCAAGCAAUGCAAGACUAUAGCUGAGGUAACUGCUGACUUACAGGAAUUAACCACAACUAGAGCUGCUACUAAUAAUUAUUUUCUUAAUAAAUUAGUUAAUUAUUUUCUUAAUUGACCAUUUGGUGCAUAAAAUGUCAGAAAACGGGGAAAAAAAAAAUCAUUGUGAUUUCCAAAAACCUAAACUGAGACCUUCAAAUUGCUUGUUUUAUCUGACCAACAGUCUGAAACAGAAAGAUAUUUAGGUUAAUAUAAUAGAAGAUUGUGAAAAUCAGCCAAUAUUCUGUUGAUCAAUUUACCAAUGAAUCUACUGAUUGUUACAGCUGUGAACACAUAUCUGACACCAAGACAGACUCAGCAAUGCUAGUUUUAUAAUCAAGUACCUUCAAUUAAAAGAUAUAUAUUUCGAGGCAGAAAAAAACGACCAGCUUGACCUUUUUUAUGGAAAACUUUAAUGGAUUUUUUUAAUAAGUAAUGUCUUGUUAAGUGAGUACAUAUAGAUACAAAUGUUCUAUUCUAGCUACAGUCAGGGCCAGAUAUUUUUAGGAACCAGAGGAGUGCCUGUACAAAAAACACUCGAUCACAUGGUAGUGUGUCUUCUCAAGGCUGGAGACACAGGGCUAAUCUGACGUUAGGCCUUGUGCUGCAGUAAAUUUAGUCCAAAAA